rnacentral:rRNA from 1 species
CGGGCCCUUCGGGGUCAGUGGCAGACGGGUGAGUAACGCGUGGGAACGUGCCCUUCAGUUUGGAAUAACCCAGGGAAACUUGGGCUAAUACCGGAUACGCCCUAACGGGGAAAGAUUUAUCGCUGAAGGAUCGGCCCGCGUCUGAUUAGCUAGUUGGUGAGGUAAUGGCUCACCAAGGCGACGAUCAGUAGCUGGUCUGAGAGGAUGAUCAGCCACAUUGGGACUGAGACACGGCCCAAACUCCUACGGGAGGCAGCAGUGGGGAAUAUUGGACAAUGGGCGCAAGCCUGAUCCAGCCAUGCCGCGUGAGUGAUGACGGCCUUAGGGUUGUAAAGCUCUUUCGGCGGGGACGAUAAUGACGGUACCCGCAGAAGAAGCCCCGGCUAACUUCGUGCCAGCAGCCGCGGUAAUACGAAGGGGGCUAGCGUUGUUCGGAAUCACUGGGCGUAAAGGGCGCGUAGGCGGCUUUAUAAGUCGGGGGUGAAAGCCUGUGGCUCAACCACAGAAUUGCCUUCGAUACUGUAUGGCUUGAGACCGGAAGAGGUAAGUGGAACUGCGAGUGUAGAGGUGAAAUUCGUAGAUAUUCGCAAGAACACCAGUGGCGAAGGCGGCUUACUGGUCCGGUUCUGACGCUGAGGCGCGAAAGCGUGGGGAGCAAACAGGAUUAGAUACCCUGGUAGUCCACGCCGUAAACGAUGAAUGCCAGCCGUUGGGCAGCUUGCUGCUCAGUGGCGCAGCUAACGCUUUAAGCAU